AGGUCAUUUUAGAGAGGGUUUAUGAGGCUAUGAAGCCAGGAGCUCUUAACACUGUGACCAGAGGUUGAAGUUCACCAUGGGCCGCUAUAGUCUUUAAACAGCACUGUGUUCUCCUAAGGAGAUACAGCG
rfam:Pteropus alecto contig47731, whole genome shotgun sequence.